UACGUAGGGUGCGAGCGUUGUCCGGAAUUAUUGGGCGUAAAGGGCUCGUAGGCGGUUUGUCGCGUCGGGAGUGAAAACUCAGGGCUUAACCCUGAGCCUGCUUCCGAUACGGGCAGACUAGAGGUAUGCAGGGGAGAACGGAAUUCCUGGUGUAGCGGUGAAAUGCGCAGAUAUCAGGAGGAACACCGAUGGCGAAGGCGACUACCUGGCCUGUUCUUGACGCUGAGGCGCGAAAGCUAGGGGAGCAAACGGG
rnacentral:rRNA from 1 species